UACGGAGGGUGCGAGCGUUGUCCGGAAUCAUUGGGCGUAAAGGGCGCGUAGGUGGCCCGGUCAGUUCGUGGUGAAAGCGCGGGGCUCAACCCUGCGUCGGCCAUGAAUACUGCCGCGGCUGGAGCACUGUAGAGGCAGGCGGAAUUCCGGGUGUAGCGGUGGAAUGCGUAGAGAUCCGGAGGAAGACCGGUGGCGAAGGCGGUCUGCUGGGCAGUUUCUGACACUGAUGCGCGACAGCGUGGGGAGCAAACAGG
rnacentral:rRNA from 1 species